AUAAGACUGAGAUAGCCCAUUUAUACCCCAUACCCCCUCCAUACUGACUUCUAGGGUCAUGGAAUUUCACUUAAUGCAUAGAAUCGUAUUGCUAAAAUGCAGUGUCCAUUACUCAGCCUAUAAGACUGAGAUAUCCCUAUGUAUACCCCAUACCCCCUCCAUACUGACUUCCAGAGACAUAGAAUUUCACUUUGCAUACGGUCCUAUUGCUAAAAUGCAGUGCCCAUCACUCAGCCUAUAAGACUGAGAUAUCCCUAUCUAUACCCUCUACCCCCUCCAUACUGACUUCCAGAGUCAUGGAAUUUCACAUAAUGUAUAGAUUUCUAUUGCUAAAAUGCAGUGCCCAUAACUCAGCCUAUAAGACUGAGAUAGCCCAUCUAUACCCCCUCCAUACUGAGUUCCAGAGUCAUGGAAUUUCACUUAAUGCAUAGAAUCGUAUUGCUAAAAUGCAGUGCCCAUCACUCAGCCUAUAAGACUGAGCCCAUCUAUACCCCAUACCCCCUCCAUACUGACUUCCAGAGUCAUGGAAUUUCACUUUGCAUACAGUCCUACUUUACUUGUCCAUGGACAAGUAAACAAAGAACUCUUGUCCUUCAUGUUAAUCAAGAUACACCAAUCAAACAAGAGUUUUAUAUCAGAGACUUGCCAUGGAGGUAUCAUCUCUCAAGUCUCCUUUCCUUUAAGGAAAGAAAACCAUUCUGUCAUUGCUGUAGUAGUCACAGUCCCAAGUUUCUAAGCAGUGUUCAGUCGUCUUUUCUCAUGUAUUACCUUGAGUACUGAAUAAUUCUGUCAGAAAUAUUUUGUCCAUUGGAUUAGACUUUAGCUAGUCCAGCCCUGUGUGCAUUUAGCAAAGGGGCAAACACAGGUCUGUUAUCAGACAGUUAAAGUGCUCAGUCCCAAUUUUCAAGGCAUUGGCCAUUAAAGGGGGUAGAAUACUAUAUACUGUUGGCAUGCUGUCAUGGGUGCUAUCGCCCCAGGUCACAUCUUUCUAACUGAUGGAGAUACAUUUAUUUGCUCAUGAUAUUGUAUACUAGUCUCACAUGCUUUCUUAUUUCAGCCAAAAACCUCUGCACUGGAACAUUUUAUGUGGAUAAUCCUGACUAGGAAUUGAGUCUUUUCUCAAGGUCCUAAUACUACCCUUGCUUUAUGUAAAGAGGGUGCUGAUUACUUAAUGCCUCUUACACAAUUGUGCAAAAUUGCAGUUGUUCAAGUCCCCUUCUGUUAGUAACCAAGAUCCCAUACCCUCAUACCCUAAUGGGUGACAAUCAAGGGUGCCAACCAAUGAGACCACUUCUCUGUUCUGGUCUUUCUGCUGUGCUGGGGAAUCAAACCUUGAGUCUUGUGUACGCUAGUAAAGCACUGUCAUAGAGCUACAGCCCCACCGUGUGGUGGUUUGAGAGAACAGCCUCUUAUGUAGCCUGGGCUGGGCGGGACUUACAGGCAUUGCCACCUGUAAUGUAAACAUAUUUGUGCCUGUUGUGUGCACAGCUGCAUUUGUCCCUCUUCCUAAGCAUUGGAUAAAGAAACCAAACUAAGUCAAGUCAUUUUGUUGGUAAUCAAGAAGACCUUUGAUCUGUCCUGUUUUUAACUUCCAGGCUGGCCUGGAACUUAGCAUAUAACCCAGGCUAGCCUUGAGCUCAGGAUCUAGCCUGCGUUUAACAAGUGUUGGCAUAUCUGGUUCCUACCACUAUGCCCUGCAUGCAGUCUUUCAUAUUGUGAAUGUGCAUAUGUCAUUUCACUGUAGUAAUCUGCAUCUGGUGAAGACUUAUUUGUAUUGCAGCAGUAUUUAAGAUCCUUAACAUAGUAAAUGUGCACAGUGUUAACUCUAUUGUACAUAUUCUCAUGUCCACAGUUGUGCCUUUUAGAUCAGGACUCCUGUACUUAGCAAAGCAAAGAGGCUCACUAAUAUAAAGCUUCUUUCAUGAGACUAUAGAUUGAAACGAUUCCAAUACGGUCAAUGGUCCUUCAAGGUAAGACUUCUGUCUCUGAUCAUUCAUAUCCUCUUUGCUUUAUGGAAUUAUGUAUGUGCUGUGCACUUGAAACCCCUUCCUCAAACUAUUUAUGUACAUACUGGCAAUUUUAGUAGGAUCAAUUUUACUCUUAACUUUGAAGUACAGAAGUGGUGUUGACCUAUAAGGUCCCAUUUUGUGGCUUGCUAAUAAUAAUGACUGAUUGUAGUAGGCCUUUUCUGUUCACUACAGAAGGAAACCUGAACAGCGUAAAACUGUAAUGGCCAUAAACAUGUACCUUGCAUAUUAGUAUGCAUUUACUGCACACAUCUCAUUCCAUUUGGAUACGAUCCUACUCUCAAACCCUUUUGCAGUACAGCAAGGGUCACUAAUCUUUUGGCUUCUUCAUCUUCCUGGACACUGGAUAAGGCUGUCCCCUCCUUUCCACUCUUUAAUUUCCAGGACUAUUACUUUAAAGACUUAAUAUUUGCAUAAAGGAUGGGGUUUUUAAUUGAUAACAUGUCCCUUGAACAUUAAUGUAUAUAACAGGGACAUGAUCCAUUCAUUUUAAUAAAAAUACUUGGCCAGUUAAUGUGUAAAAUUACACUUAUCCACAACCUUAUUACUUUUCGGACCAUUGUAUCUCUUGCACUCCUGCAAGGGAUACCGUUUAUCUCCCAAGGUCCCUGCUAGUGGACCAUUAAUAUACAGUGAAUCUUCCUUUGUCUUUGCCAGUAAACAAAGGCCAUACUCCUUCGCCUUUCAUUUGCACUAUAUCAGGAUAUGCUGAUCAACAAGGCCGCAUUCUUUUGGACUGUUAUCAUAUAUUAAAUGUAUGCGUAUGCACUGCCACCUGCUCUGUGCACUUGAAAGGAUCCCACUCACUUCCUUAGCACCUUCAGCAGGAAGUGAUAAUAAGCUCAAGACUUUCAUUUGGAAAGUUCACAUGUCUAAGCACUUCUCUAAGAACUACUGUACCCUCUUCUCCGCUUUAAAGCAGAAAGAGGGUUGUACGAAGUGCUCUUCAUUUGGACUUAAGUGCAUUAAUGCAGUUAGUUGUCCAUCAUUACCUUUGGAGUUGGAUUUUACAUCCUUGUACUCUUUUGACACCAGAGGCAUAUUAAUUAUUUCUGAGCACUUCUCUUGUCAAUAUUAAUCUGUACCCUUACACAUAUGACCUGUGCGGCAGCAAAGGUUCUGAAAUGCCUACCUUUUGACUGGGGCUGCUGAGUGGUAGUAACUAUUAGUAACCUCAGCAUUUGGAUGAUUACUAUGCAAAAAUGUCAAGGACCUGUGUGCUCUCUUUGCAUACCAUCAAGGCUACUGAGUCCCAGAAUUAAUUGCUAAGUUAUGCGUAUUUAUAACUAUGAAUGUCUGGAAUAUUUUGUCCCCUUUACAUUAUUGCAGAGGUUGCUGAGCCCCCGAAACUACCCGGUACUGUCAAUGAGCACAGGGGCUCUGACGAAUGACCUGCUCUCUUCCUUAAACUGAUUUUGGGACUCUUAAUAGGCACAAUGGCAGUUCUGGAUGGUUUAUUUUCUACUCCAACUUGAGCAAAUCCCCUGCUAGUUUCCCAAUGAUAUAAUAAAGUACAGCAGUAUGUACACCCAACAAUGACCCGGAUUUCGACCCUUUUUGCAUUGCUUUAAUAUAUACAAUCCUAAAUAGUCACAAUCUCACACUUUAUAGUGUUCCUUUUGCCCGGCCUCUAGUUUGUCCAUUGACCACUUUUCUGAAUCACUAAUUCUCACAAACCCAUCAUUAAGGAAGAGUUUGUGCCCUUUCUCAAUUCCAUCAUGCCAUCCCUUUUGCCUCUUUGUUUGAACAGUAUUGACUGGGCAAAGCCCUUCUCUUGACUUAAAGUCAACAACACCAGUUUACUCACUUCAUAUGGCUACAGUGUCUCAGUUGCCUUCUCCUUGCUCCCACUGAACAGAGACACCUCGAAUUCUUACAUUAUUCUGGGUAAUGUUAAUUACCCCAAACACCCUAUGUGUCAUUAAUAAAUUUUGGUGUAUUUAUACACUGAAUAGCAAAAGCAGGCCAAAACUAGGUGGAUGAGCCUUCAAUCUUUAACUUGCACUUCUAAAUUAUUCCAAUUCCAACUGCUGGCACAUUCUAGGGCCAGGAACCAUUCUUGCCUACCUUUAUUAAUGCUUUAUUGUGCAAAAUAUUGCAGGCAAGUAGCUCAGGGAGUUGGAUUGCCACCUUUUACUUGGGGCUUUCCUUUACAGUAUGAACUGAAAAUUGUCUUCCUGAGAAGGAAGCUUAGCACUUUUCUUUCCGUUCUUCCUCCAGGAAGGAGCCAACUGUCUGCUUAAGAAACUUUAAGCCCGAUUUUGUAUAUUGCUACUGUACAGGACCAACUGCCAGAAAAGUUAUUGAUAAUUUUAUUCCUUAAGAAAGGCAUUUGGAUUGCAAGGUGGAUUGACUGUGAGAUCAUUAGCUUUUGUGAAGUAAAAAUAGCCAUUUGUGUCAUGUUUCUGAAGACUAAGCAGUGUCUCAGUGUACUGAGGGUGAUGAGUCUGUGGAAAGAUCAGUGCAACUAUUGCAGAAUGUUUAAGACAAGUAUCUUUGCUUGGUCUUUACUACAAGUUUAACAAAACGAAAAAGUCAAUCUUUGUGUGGCCUUUAGUAUGAUUAACUUUUUGGAAGAUGACCUAAGCCUUCUAAUCAUUAUAUUUUGUCUGACAUUGGUCACCAGUCCUUGCUUAUUUUUAAAAGGUGACUGGAUGGAUUAAAUUUGAGAACAUGUCAAGUCGCCUUUGAAAAUUAUAUAGGCCAUCACAUUUAAUUAAUUCAUUCUAUCCACCAUUAAACUCUGGCAAUAAUUUGAAGUAGCUUGAAAAUUCCUAAAGUGGGAAUUUAUUUUAGAGAUGAUAGAACCUGUUUCCCCACUUUACAUUUUAAAAUAUGUCUGCCAGGAUCUAAUCAUUCCUUUAAACGUACACUUCAAAGAGAGAUUUUCCUAGUAAGAAAAGAGCUUUCUCUAGUGUGAAGGGUGCUUUGUAGCCGCCGAGUACUUAGGUCUUUUUUGGGAGCUAUUGUGUAUGAGUGUAUGUAUGUGUGUGUGUACAUGCAUGUUGCUGCGCGCAGUCAUUCAUUCACAUGGUGCUCAGACAACAAUGGGAGCUGGUUCGUCUAUCUUGUGGGUCCUGGAGAUCAAAGUGAGAUCAUCAGGCUUGGCAGCAAGUGCCUUUACCCUCCGCGUGCCAUCUUGCCAUCCCGCUGCUGAGUGUUUGAUAUGACAUUGCUGAUGAAAAUAAUCAUCACAACAGCAGUUCUCCCAGCAUUACUGAGAAAUGAUACUAUUUUUCUGAGGAGGAUGUUCAAGUAACUCAUCCAGUGCAGGAUCCUGCUUGAACUACUGCUCCUCCGUUACAUCAGACUCUGGCUGUUUAGACUACAGGAUGAAUUUGGAGUCUGUUUUGUGCUCCUGCCUCAAGAAGAAGGAUUGCCUGGAUUUAGAGGAGUGAAGAGUGCUGGAGAGAGCCCAAAGGGACAAACAAUCCCUAUGUGAGACUCAAGGACUGCCAGCAGCCUAUACAGCUACAUUACAUCUCAGCAGAACUUCUCUUCAAGUCCUCGCUACUCUGAACAAAAAGCUUACAGGCCACAUGGAGAAAAAAAGAUCUCCCCCCAGAAUUGUGGGCUUGCUGCUUUGCAGUGCUGGCGACCUAUUCCCUUUGACGAUCCCUAGGUGGAGAUGGGGCAUGAGGAUCCUCCAGGGGAAUAGCUCACCACCACUGGGCAACAGGCCUAGCCCAGAUUUCAGUGAGACGCUUUCCUGAACCCAGCAAGGAAGACAAAGGCUCAAAGAAUGCCACCCUACAUCAAAGUAGGAGAAAAGCUGCUGCAAUAGUGGCACUGACCUUCGAGGAAGCCAUUCUGCUCUAUUUGGUUCUCUCUCCAGAAGCUAGGAAAGCUUUGCCAGCUGUUUACAUACUUCAAGAUGCACUGCUACCCUACUCAUGCCAUAUAAUACACAAUGCCAUCUACCAAAUAUUACCCUUCCCCAAAGCAGCACAGAAAACUGGGUCUUCAGCGUGAUCAAGCAAUGUGAACACACAAAAGGAAGGCAGCUUUAUAAAUGACCCGAGGAUCAACAUGCCUGACUGCAGCAUCUUAAAAGCAAUAGAAUGAGUGUGUAUUGUGGGUGUGUCUAUUUCUUGUUUUAUGUAUCUAUUUUUUCCUUGGUCUGUGUGUCUAAUUCUUUGUUACAUCUAUUUCUUCCUUGCUUUGUGUCUAUUUCUUCCUUGCUUUGUGUCUAUUUCUUCCUUGCAGUUGUGUCUAAUUCUUUGUUACAUCUAUUUCUUCCUUGCUUUGUGUGUCUUUCUUCCUUGUGUGUCUAAUUCUUUGUUACAUCUAUUUCUUCCUUCCUUUGCAUGUCUCCUUCUUUCCUUUGUGUGUCUUUUCUGUCUGCAGUGUGUCUUACCUAUUCCCAUGUUUCUCCUGCAUGUUCUUUCUUGCAGAGCUUUGAGCUUUGUUUCACUUUCUCUGGUGCCUGUGUGGUCUGCUUUGUCUUCACUAGCUAUGGCUCUCUGUUUUAUCUAUCUGGUUGCUAUUUCUCUUAGCUUUUCUUUCACUCCUGCCUUUCGUGACUCCCCUUUGGGUCACAUGUUGCAUGCAUCCCUCUCUUUUUCUUGUGCUCACCCCACUUGUUCUUUGUUCAAGUUCUCUUUGUCAGUCCAUUUCAGUUUUCUUUCUGCUGCUUCUAUCCUUAGUGAAUUCUUGUUUACAUUUCUUCCCUGCCUUUCUUGGGCCACUUUCUCUGUUUUCUUUUGUAUUUGUGUCUCUUUGCUAUUGGUGGAUUUCUUAUCUCAGCAUCAUUCUGUUGCUUUGUGUUUGCUUGUGUUUCUAUCUUCUACUUUCCUCCUUUCUGUUCACUUUGAGCAUUUCAUCUCUUUACAAGUCUGUGUCUCUCUUGUAUUCUAAAGUAAUCCUUUCUUGGAUGUUUCUUUGUAUGUACAUGUGCGUGUGUGCAUGUGUGUUAUGUGUGUCAUGUGUGAGAGGAGCUUCAUAGCCCCUUCCCAAUAGGUCCAGAAUGUCACCCGUGGAGCCGUUCCUCACACCAGACUGCCCUGAGAAAUAAUCUAAGACAAAAUACAUCAUUCCGUCCGGUCAGGAUUCAAGUGGCUCUGAAGUGAACGCCCAAGUAGAAGACAGAAGUUUUGCGACUUGAGAUUUAAAAGGACCAAAAUACACAGAUGGCCCGUCUUGAGCUGGCUGGACAGAAUGCUGACAACCCAAAGAAGAGGAACUGUUUCUACAGGACACCUGUGACUUCCAAGAGCGGGGAACUACUUACUGCCAUCAAUAUUGCUACCAAUUAAGCACAUCCUACCAUCAUCUGCUUUGAUCACAUAAAUGAACUGUGUACCAAUCUGUUGUUGAAAGACUGGAGUCAUCUUCCCACCAACUGUGAAAAAACACAUGGAAAACACCUGGACUUUGUGAACGGAUGCGGAAUACAGAACUUCUGUUGACUCUUGGGUGUUUUGAAGACUUGAAAAAAAAAACUGUUGCUUACCAACAUGUCACAAUGAGUCCGUGUGUGGGUGGGUGGAUG
rnacentral:lncRNA from 1 species